rnacentral:pre_miRNA from 1 species
AUUAUACUCCCUUUGUCCGAAAAUACUUGUCAUCAAAAUGGACAAAAAGGGAUAUAUCUAAAACUAAAAUACAUCUAGAUACAUCCCUUUUAUCCAUUUUGAUGACAAGUAUUUCCGGACAGAGGGAGUAUAUA